UUAACUCAAAUUUGUAUGAAGUUGGAACGUUUGCCUACGUUUGCCACUAGGGGCGCUGUCCCAAAUGCAUACAAAUUUGAAUUA
rfam:Bombyx mori DNA, contig: Bm_scaf58_contig28491, strain: p50T/Dazao, build 2, whole genome shotgun sequence.